rnacentral:rRNA from 1 species
UACAGAGGGUGCGAGCGUUAAUCGGAAUUACUGGGCGUAAAGCGUGCGUAGACGGUUUUGUAAGUCGGAUGUGAAAGCCCCGGGCUUAACCUGGGAAUUGCAUUGAGGACUGGUGUGCUCGAGUGCGGCAGAGGGGGGUGGAAUUCCACGUGUAGCAGUGAAAUGCGUAGAGAUGUGGAGGAACACCGAUGGCGAAGGCAGCCCCCUGGGCCGACACUGACGCUCAUGCACGAAAGCGUGGGGAGCAAACAGG